UGGGGAAUUUUGGACAAUGGGCGAAAGCCUGAUCCAGCAAUGCCGCGUGUGUGAAGAAGGCCUUCGGGUUGUAAAGCACUUUUGUCCGGAAAGAAAUCCUUGGCUCUAAUACAGUCGGGGGAUGACGGUACCGGAAGAAUAAGCACCGGCUAACUACGUGCCAGCAGCCGCGGUAAUACGUAGGGUGCAAGCGUUAAUCGGAAUUACUGGGCGUAAAGCGUGCGCAGGCGGUUUGCUAAGACCGAUGUGAAAUCCCCGGGCUCAACCUGGGAACUGCAUUGGUGACUGGCAGGCUAGAGUAUGGCAGAGGGGGGUAGAAUUCCACGUGUAGCAGUGAAAUGCGUAGAGAUGUGGAGGAAUACCGAUGGCGAAGGCAGCCCCCCUGGGGCCAAAUACUGACGCUCAUGCACGAAAGCGUGGGGGAGCAAACAGGAUUAGAUACCCUGGUAGUCCACGCCCUAAAACGAUGUCAACUAGUUGUUGGGGAUUCAUUUCCUUAGUAACGUAGCUAACGCGUGAAGUUGACCGCCUGGGGAGUACGGUCGCAAGAUUAAAACUCAAAGGAAUUGACGGGGUCAUAGCUGUUUCCU
rnacentral:rRNA from 1 species